rnacentral:lncRNA from 1 species
UUGCACAGGAUAUUUCAAGAUACAGUAUUAACAUUGUAUGUGAGAGCUGUGUGUAUCUGUAUAAUAUUUAAAAUAUGUAUACUUACACUUAGUGUGGUGACUGCCUUUAAAACUGUAAAUAAGAUUAGUAAUAGUAUGGUAGAAGGUUUUCUUUCCAUUCUAAAAUUUUAGGAUUUUAUCUAUACCUAUUGGGUAAUCUUUUAAACAGAUUGAACUAAGGCAGGCAAUAAUGACAUCCUAUUUUGUCUUUUCUUUUUUUUUUGUUCCUUCCUUCUUUCCUUCCUUCCUUCUUUCCCUCUCUGCCUGUCUUCCCUCUCUCCUCCCUCCAUUCUUUCUAUCCAUCUGUCUGUCUGUCCUAAUGGAAUUUCCUGAUGUAGUCCAGGUUGACCUCUACCUCUCUGUGAAGACCAGGCUAGCUUACAAGUUGUAGUCCAAUUGCUUCAGCAUCACAAGCCCUGGGUUCCAAGUCUGAUUACCACAUGAAGCCAUCACUAGCUCUCAUUUAAGGUGUUCCCCUCUAUGGCUGAUGAUUUGAAGGAGAUCAAGAGCAGAGAUGAUCAGCUUUGAGACUGGCAUUGAAUUAGGAUGCAGACUGAGGAAAUAAUGUAAGAAAAGAGGAAAAAUGCAACACUAGUGUGGAGUUGUACUUAUGGAUUAUCAAAUGGAGAAGAUAGAGAUGGACUUACUAUUUCUGGUAGUUGGGUUGGGCCAUUAUAUAGAUAGUGGGGCCAUUAACUGAAACAGGACUUCAGGUGACAAAACAGGUUAAGGGGUAUGUAGGGAAAGAUAAACACGAGUUUAACUUUAGAGAUACAGAGCUUUUAGUGCUGGUGGAAUUUCUGAUAGCAUGUUUACAGUAUCAUGUGAAUGAUGCUUUAAAAUACCAGAGAUAAAAAUCACAAGGAAGUCAGUUAAGAUAAAGUUAGUAGGUCAUGAUGGAUAGCUGGAAAAUUCCAGUCAUUAAGAGAAAAAGAAAUGGAGAAUGGAGUGGAGUAAGAGCAUGGUGUGGGGAAACAGACUACUCGUGGAUAAGUAGUGUUUAACUUAAAAAUAUCCACUGCAUACUCAGUUGUAGUCAUAAGGCGUGUGUGUAUCCGAGAAUAUCUGUAAUCUGGUUCCAGAAGUCUGUACUUUCCUUAUAACUGGGAGGAUAGCACACACCUCAGAAAUGCUUGUUUAUCAUAGGAGAGCCUCUGAGGUAGAGUAGUAACUUUAUGUAGUUCUAUUUCAGUUCACCAAAUGCAUAGGACACAGAAGUAGAACAGUUAUAACAAUGACUGUCAUUGAGCCCAUUAGUUCCUUCAGGAUAUGUUCCUGAUCUUGGGGGUUACUAUUCUUAUUGAUGUACAAGUUGAC